ensembl:lncRNA
GGCUGCUGCAGCCAAUGAUGCGAUUCACAUACGUAUUUACCAUAGACUGUAUAUAAUGGUAUUUACGCAGCUAAUCAAUGUCAGGCGUCCUUAUGUGCAGCCAUCGUUGUUCUCAUAGAUAUGAAUGAGUAGAUAGGACACGCCCCUUUGAGCUACGUGCUACAGCGAGGCUAAGCUAGUGGGAGCAAAGUUUCAGUGCAUUCUGUUGAUGUAGACGGCGUAAAAACGGAAACAAGAAGUAUGCCGUCUCACUGUGCUGCAUACAAUUACACACUACGUCGUACGAUUGAGACAAGGAAACUUGGAAUGACUUUUCAUAGGUUUCCCAGAGACUAUGGGUUGAGGAGGAAUUGGAAGUUUGUCGGCUUAGACCUGGUGUCAUUCCAUCAGUGUUUAACUUCCCGGCUCAUCUUGGAAGAGUACGUGCCAGAAAGACUACAACCAAGCAGCCUUGAGAUCUUAGGCAGCGUCUCCCUGAGGUCCCUCUCUAUCUCCCCACACAUCCACCAACCACUGGAACACAUCUCCAAAGUUCUGCUGGGCCAGCUCAGCUUCCCCUCAGAAGAAGUUCCACCAGAUGAAGGAGCCUUUUGAGAGGCAGCUGGCAUCGUGAUUGGACUGUACUUUGGUCUGUUCCAAUCCAGCUUCAGCUCCAGAGACGGCAGGCGGGACGAGUCAACGGAGGCCUGGUGGACGAAGACCAAAGAACUACAGACUCUUCACAACCUGCUCAAACUCUUGGUACAGGACCUCACCACACGGGUCAAGAAGGUUUCCGUCUCAUUUCUACUCUGAAGCUCACCUUCUCCUGCUCAAACUGCUGACAAAUGUUUCUGCUGCUCUAAAGUCUGGUCUCCAGAACUUCCUAAAAACUCUCAAAGUCUCUUCUGCUGCAGGUUGCUUUGUAGAACUGUUCCAGAAAACCUCACUAAACCACAUGGAGGGGCCUCAAGAUAGUCGUCCAAAUGAAACCAUACAAAAACCAAACUAGCACAACCCAAACACUAAAGUCUCCUGCAGCCUACCAGAGAACCUCUGA